rnacentral:rRNA from 1 species
GAAUCAUCGAAUCUUUGAACGCACAUUGCGCCCGCCAGUAUUCUGGCGGGCAUGCCUGUUCGAGCGUCAUUUCAACCCUCA